rnacentral:lncRNA from 1 species
UGAAGGUAUGUAUUUUUAACAGUGGGAACAACAACAAAAAUCAUGUAUCAGAACUAGUAUGUGUUCUUGUUGCUGCAGCUUUCAUUAGUUUCAGAGACUGGAAGGAAAAUGUAGAAAUAGGCAACAACAAUUGUUAUGUCUGAGAUGAAGCCCAGUAUUUUCUUUAAAUGACAAUACUUUAGCACAUAAAUUAAUUUUUAAAGUCAUGUUUUCAUGCAUGCAGUUUUUGGAAGAGGUAUAUAUCCUUUUGUAUUUAGAAUACCAUCCUUUUAGCUCUCUUUUGCAUAUGUAUAAAAUAGUAUAUAUCAAUCUGUUUUGUGAUUAAUGUUUUAAAUGGAAAUAUUCUUAUGGUUAACUUUUUUUUAAAAAUCAGCUUCUAAUCAAGUAUAAUGCUGCGAUCAUCUUGCAUAGAAGGUCACUUGGAGGUCCCAUGUUUACAGUGGACCCUCUACAGAUGGCAUUGGUUUAUCAUCACUAUGACUGUCUUAAAGUUAUGUUGGCAGCAUCAAACAGACCGCUUCAGCAACAAGAGCUGCACACCCAUUUUACUGGGAUUAGCUCCCUCUACCAUUUGGCUGUGAAACACAAGUGUAAUGUUAAUUUUUUGGAACUGAUGUUUGAGUUUGGACUUAAUCCAUGGAUCAGAGAUGCCAGACAACUUUAUCCUUGGGAAACCACUUCUGGAGAUGUGAUGGCAGAUCAGACAAGGGAUCUGAUGAUGUUCUUUAAAAUAAUACGAGAACACCCACGUUCGCUUCGUUCUUUCUGUCGGCUUUCCAUUUGGAGAUAUGUGAUUUCAUUGGGUAGACAAACACGAGAUCUUGAAGACAUCCAAGGGGUCCCUGACAGCAUCAAGAAAUAUCUAAUGUUUGAAAUAAUGUUUUAAAAGUAUCUAAAACAGAAGAGAAAAAAAAAUAUAGUGAAUGUUCAACAUGAUAGGAGCUACAAGGUGAUGGUAGUUUUAGCUACACUUUUCCCUGCCACACAAAAACCAUUGCUUGUUUUGUGAAGCUUUUGGGUGUUUUCUUUAAGUCAUUCAGCUGACAUAGUGAAUAAGCAAAUGAAGAUUAAUGAUAGCUUAGCAGUUAUGUAAUGGAAAUAUAGCUGCUUGCUGUUAAGUACUUGUAGAACUCAUUAGGAUUGGUAAAAACUUACGUAAAACUGAAAGUAGCCAUUAUUUACACAAAAAGAUUUUCUUGUUCUGAAAACAUUUUUUACAGUUUUUAAGUUUAGGAUCUAGAAAAAAGAAUUCAAGCACAGUUACACUGAUUGCCUCCAUGUCUAUGGUUAUGUGUGCAUGGUAAUUAAUGUGCUGAUCGUGUAGAGCAAAGAAAUAGUUAUUUAUUCUCUCCAGGAAUGUAUGGAGCUCACCAUAUCAUAGGCAACUCAUUUUCUAGUCUUUUUUAGGAAGCACUCAGAUGACUGCAGAAGCCCAUUUUGUUACACUGCAGAUUGUUUACAGUUCAAAUAUGUUAAAAUAAAAUGAACUAUAAAUUUGUGAAAACACUUUGCAUGUGACAUAUUCAUGAUUUUCUGUGUACAUGAAUGUUUCUUUUUCUCUUCCUGUUAUUUAGCUAUCUGUAUCUUCGUCUCUAAAUGUGUUUUUUCCCCCGACUCUAAAAUGUUUUUAAAGUUUACAUAUAUAUGUGCAUCUGCAUGCUUGUUUGAAGAUCAGUUUUGGUCAUCAUUUGAGUUGAUCCGGUACAAAGUAACAUAAAAAAUAUUAUGUGAUGAAUGGAUCCUGCACUGUAGCUGAUUUGUAUCAUUUGGGGAAAAACAACGUAAACCAGUUUAGCUGUUUCAGACAUGUUUGAUGCAACAACAGUAAGCCAAUAGCCCAGAAACACGAUUAAAUUGAUCAUCGCAAACAACUCACUGACUUAACCCAUCUUGUUUUAAUUUUUUUAAAUUUUUCAUCAGUUUAAGCACUAAUGUGACAGACGACUGAGAAAAUCGAACAGUUUCAAUUUAUAUAUGGUCUUCUGUCUCCUUGAGCAGUGACGUCCGUCAUCGUUAAUACAGAGCACCAUCUUCAUCGUAAGGGAUAUCACUUUGCCACCGACUAAACUUUCUUGUGGGCAUGCUGUCCACCAACCUGUACAAAUAUUAAAAAAGAAAAACCAGUCUGAAAAGUUAUUUAAAAAAAAAAUCAAAGCCACAUGUAUGAUCGCAUUUUGAGAGUUGGUAAUCUGUACUGCUGUUAUUUAUUAUGUUGAAGAUGAUGUUUACAAUGAUCAUGAUGAUAACAUUGAUGUUGAUGUUGGAAAAUAAAUUCAAUCAAAAUGCAGAA